rnacentral:misc_RNA from 1 species
CCGAGUCUAGCGCUCGCAAACCCACUGUGAACCUACCCAAGUACGUUGCUUUGGCGGGCGGCCCCGGGGGGGCCCAUCCGGCCGCUGGUGCCCGCCGGCAGCGCCAAGACCCUCUGUAUUUAUAGCGGAACUUCUCUGAGUGGCACGCUGAAGAAGCAAGUAA